GAACAUUCCUCCACGCUGCAGGUCUGAGCAUUUUGAGGACACAGCAGUUGUGCAAUGAGUUAACAGAGGCCCCAGGCUCACUGUUUUUGAAAGUUCCAGCUUAUCCAGGAGCGAGCAAGAGCAUGAACAUCACCCCCAUUCUGCAGUCACUCCAUUCGCUGCCAAUCAUCUACCAUGCUCAGUUCAAGAGGGAGGACAGACGUGUGGAGGAACCAUACCCAAACCGAUUCCAGUGCUUGUUGAUUGACUGCUAAGAAAAUCAGGAAAGUAAAUAAGCGUCCUGCUGCAUCAAGCAAAGCAUCCAUCAAGUCGAACAUCCAAUUUUCCACAGGGGCAGGCCAAGAAUCUAGCAAGUAGGGUAUGAAGGCAAAUUCCCUGGUCUAUGUGCUGCAGAAAUUGGCAUUCAGUGGUAUCCUGCUUCGGAAUAUGGAGGUUCCAUUUCAGCAACAUGGCUAAUUGUCAUUGAUAGACUUGCCCUCUGUGAAUUU